AGCGAACGCUGGCGGCAGGCCUAACACAUGCAAGUCGAGCGGACGUAGCAAUACGUCAGCGGCAGACGGGAGAGUAACACGUGGGAACGCGCCCUUCGGUUCGGGAUAACUCAGGGAAACUUGGGCUAAUACCGGAUACGCCCUUACGGGGAAAGAUUCAUUGCCGAAGGAACGGCCCGCGUCCGAUUAGCUUGUUGGUGAGGUAACGGCUCACCAAGGCGACGAUCGGUAGCUGGUCUGAGAGGAUGACCAGCCUCACUGGGACUGAGACACGGCCCAGACUCCUACGGGAGGCAGCAGUGGGGAAUAUUGGACAAUGGGCGCAAGCCUGAUCCAGCCAUGCCGCGUGGGUGAUGAAGGCCCUAGGGUUGUAAAGCCCUUUCGGCGGGGAAGAUAAUGACGGUACCCGCAGAAGAAGCCCCGGCUAACUUCGUGC
rnacentral:rRNA from 1 species